rnacentral:rRNA from 1 species
UACGGGGGGGGCAAGCGUUGUCCGGAUUUACUGGGCGUAAAGAGCGCGCAGGCGGUCGUUCAAGUCGCGUGUGAAAGCCCCCGGCUCAACUGGGGAGGGUCACGCGAUACUGAUCGACUCGAAGGCAGGAGAGGGUAGUGGAAUUCCCGGUGUAGUGGUGAAAUGCGCAGAUAUCGGGAAGAACACCCGUGGCGAAGGCGGCUCUCUGGGACGGUACUGACGCUGAGACGCGAAAGCGUGGGGAGCGAACAGG